ACUCUCAGGAUUCAGAGGCGUCCAGAAGGUCACGAGUGACCAGUCUCUUAAGCUACCUCCGCAGUUUCUUGCUGUCGCUCCAACAACAUGCGUUCUGCUCCAGGCCUUUGCAUUUGCCAUUCGCGCUACACACUGCGCUCCAAGUCAUCUGUCACAGCGCUCAGGUAUCCUAGAUAACCAUAGCAACCUUCAUGUGCACACGCUCCUGAAUUUGCCCCUCAUCUUGCGUUACAACUCUCAAUAGCUCUUUGCACCGCCUGACUUGCUAAGCCUUUUUGCUUGUUUUGAGUCUCACUCUGUAGUCCUGGCUGUCCUGGAAUUAGCUAUAAAGACCAAGCUGGCCUUGAAGUCACAAAAUCCGCCUACCUCUGCCUCCCAUCUAUGCCUAGGCCACUGUUUAUUUAAUGUAUGUGAGUGCACUGGAGCUGUCUUCAGACAAAGUUUCUGGGAAUUGAACUCAGGACCUCUGGAAGAGCAGUCAGUGCUCUUAACCGCUGAGCCAUCUCUCCAGCCCCAUCUUGUUUUGUUGUUGUUGUUGUUGGUUUUUGGUUUUGUUUUGUUUUUUUGUUUGUUUGUUUGUUUGUUUUGGGUUUAUCGAGACAGGGUUUCUCUGUAUAGCCCUGGCUGUCCUGGAGCUCACUUUGUAGACCAGGCUGGCCUCGAACUCAGAAAUCCGCCUGCCUCUGCCUCCCGAGUGCUGGGAUUAAAGGCGUGCGCCACCACGCCCGGCUGUUUUGUUUUUUAACACUACUGAGGAUUGAACCUAAGGCUUCCUUUCAUGCGUGCUAAGUAAGCACCCUGCCUGUACCCCCAUAACUAAGCAGAGAGUCUGCCUGGUACUGUUCUUUGCAUGUCAACACUGAACAAAUAAAUAUUUGCUGAAUAAAUGAA
rnacentral:lncRNA from 1 species